rnacentral:rRNA from 1 species
GUGCAGCAGGCGAGAAACCUUCGCAAUGCAGGAAACUGCGACGAGGGAACUCCAAGUGCCUACGCUCAGCGUAGGCUGUUCUCAAGCCUAGAAAGCUUGAGGAGUAAGGGCUGGGUAAGACGGGUGCCAUCUGUGGUAGCAGUCAAUAGAUUCGAUUUGUUACUGCAAGGCAUAAGCCGCCGCGGUAAUACCCGCAGCCCAAGUGGUGGCCGCUUUUAUUGGGCCUAAAGCGUCCGUAGCCGGCCCGGUAAAUGCCUGGGGUAAAUCGUGGAGCCCAACUUCACGAAUUCCGGGUAGACUGCCGAGCUCGGGACCGGAAGAGGGAGAGGGGUACUUCAGGGGUAGGGGUGAAAAUUUCCUUUCCAUUAACGGCUUUUGCGCGAAGCGG